AAUGAACGCUGGCGGCGCGCCUAAUACAUGCAAGUCGAGCGAGAAGACGUAGCAAUACGUUUGUAAAGCGGCGAACGGGUGAGGAAUACAUGGGUAACCUACCCUAGAGUGGGGAAUAACUAGCCGAAAGGUUAGCUAAUACCGCGUACGCUCCUUGGACUUCGGUUCAGGGAGGAAAGCGAUGCCGAGGGUAUCGCGCUCUUGGAUGGGCUCAUGUCCUAUCAGCUUGUUGGGAGGUAACGGCUCACCAAGGCUUCGACGGGUAGCUGGUCUGAGAGGACGAUCAGCCACACUGGCACUGCGACACGGGCCAGACUCCUACGGGAGGCAGCAGUAAGGAAUAUUGCGCAAUGGGCGAAAGCCUGACGCAGCGACGCCGCGUGGGGGAUGAAGGUCUUCGGAUUGUAAACCCCUUUCGGGAGGGAAGAUGGAACGAGCAAUCGUUCGGACGGUACCUCCAGAA
rnacentral:rRNA from 1 species